UUCAUCUUGUUGUUUGUCCCAACCUGGCUGGCUGGGCCCACGGCCGGCCGGUAACCACGGCCUCCGGCUCCAACAAUGCCGGCAUUUCCAUCGCUCUGGGAAGCCACCAGACAGUUCUGGGUCGACUGUGGGACAGAAACUUAGGAAAGCAGCACUGACCUGAUUUUCUUGGAUGAGACUGUCCGCCCUGACAACGAGGCGGCCCUCGAACGCUCCGUCUCUGGGGUUUACUGAGGAUGUGUGAGAUCUGACUCUGCUCGAUGUCGCGGCGGAGGAAGGAAGAGGGUGUUGCGGACUCGUCCGCGCUCUCUGGACUGCGGCCGUCUUCCGGCUCGAAGUGGAUGAGUGACAGACUCGUUCCCGUUCCUCACAGCGUCACCGCUUCGCAAUGCGUCCAGUGUGUCAGAC